GACGAACGCUGGCGGCGUGCUUAACACAUGCAAGUCGAACGGAAAGGCCCUGCUUUUGUGGGGUGCUCGAGUGGCGAACGGGUGAGUAACACGUGAGUAACCUGCCCUUGACUUUGGGAUAACUUCAGGAAACUGGGGCUAAUACCGGAUAGGAGCUCCUGCUGCAUGGUGGGGGUUGGAAAGUUUCGGCGGUUGGGGAUGGACUCGCGGCUUAUCAGCUUGUUGGUGGGGUAGUGGCUUACCAAGGCUUUGACGGGUAGCCGGCAUGAGAGGGUGACCGGCCACAUUGGGACUGAGAUACGGCCCAGACUCGUACGGGAGGCAGUAGUGGGGAGUAUUGCACAGUGGGCGGAAGCCUGAGGCAGCAACGCCGCGUGCGGGAUGACGGCCUGCGGGUUGUAAACCGCUUUCGCCUGUGACGAAGCGUGAGUGACGGUAAUGGGUAAAGAAGCACCGGCUAACUACGUG
rnacentral:rRNA from 1 species